UUAAAGGUGGACUGAUUUGCGAUGCUAUUGAAUAUAGCUGGAUUGCAACCACGUAAAAAAAAGUGCUAACCAUUACUAC
rfam:Pedobacter sp. Hv1 Contig03, whole genome shotgun sequence.